GUGCCUAAAGCAAGACUCUAGCUAAUUAAGAAAAGGUUUAUUUAUGUGUCUAAGUCCUUUUCCUUGAGAGAUGCAGUAAGCAGAGCAGUGUGUGUCUUGACUUUAACAGAAAUGUGAGAAGAUGACAGAUCUCUUCAGAGCAGGUCCUGUGGUCAGUGAGGUGCUUGCCUCCCCCCCCAAGGAUGAAUGUCUGUCAACAAGGCGGUUCAUUGGCAUUCUGCUGUGAAGACGGAAGAAAUCUGCCUGUAGUGACACAGCAAUGGCAAGAUCGAUGCAUUGGACAAUGCGCAGACGUCAUCAGCGUGAUAGGUAAUGUCAGAAAUCACAAGGAGAUGCUGGAACAACUCAUACUUUCUUCGCCCUGGAUAAAAUUUCGUCCAUCUAGAGGCCUCCCUAUGUGAGUGGGACAUAAACUUGCAAAUAACUGGUCCUGAUGCAUGGGAAGUGAGUAGUAGUAAAGACUGAUUUGUAAAUAGCUAUAUACAGCAGGAUUUGAAAAUCUGUUUAGCUGUGGGAUAUGCCAACUGCUGAAAAAUGAAAGGAGUUUUUCCUUGGCCACGGGGCGUGUUGCAUGCUGCAGUCAGUGUGAGCUGAAUUUGACACAAGGAAAUGGCUGGAGAAACAGAUAGCUUCUCUGCAUAGCAACAGGUUGAUCACAAUAUUCCAGGCUCAGCAAGGAAUUUACAAGUCACUAAGAUAAUUAAUGACUUUAAAUGGGAGGAAAGGGCAUUUGAAUUUACAAGGAACCACAACUUAUUUUUCAGUUUAAAUUAAUCACUGCUAUUGUUUAAAUGUCUCAGUGACACUAGGGAAAAAGAUGAACUUAUUUGUCUUUGGAAUUUUAAUAGCAAUUACAAUUCUCCAUAAUAAACAUAACCAAAAUACUCUCUUGUCAAUCAAACUGACUAAUGAGAUCAGCAAAAGAGUGGAUAGCCAGGGAACAAUACCCACUUGACUGACAGGUGCCCACAAACUCUUUUGAGUAUACAGGCAGCACAAAGAAAAAUUCAAAUAUUUUCUAAUUAUUUAGGGCAAGGAUUGUAGGAAAUUGGGGUUUUUAUUCAUGGUAGAAUGAUGCGAGUGAAGCUCAUCUUAAACAGUGAAGGGUGAGGGAGCUUUUCCCAAGGGCCUCCAGGCAGUUUGACCUCUUCAUAUUCCAAGGAUGUAUUUUUGCACACUUAAUCCAAAUUCACCCAUGGCAGAAGUGACAGCCUCCUGAAGAGCACUUACUUUCCCCAUCAGCUUUUACCUGUGAGGUUCAAUGGCAGUAAGAUUUGUAGGAGCAUGAGUACAAAGGUGAAAUACAAAGGACGCCCUAAUCUUUCUGAGUGUACUGGCAUUCCCAAAGUGACUCUGUGUGUGGCAAAAUGCCUUUUCUAAAUGUCAUGAAAUGGCUGUCGGAGCUCUGUGGUCCCAUGAGUGGCUGCACAGCUCUUAGGCAGUGCUGUAUAUUGCAGUGCUUGUGUCUCUCUUCAGUUAUGCUGUAAAACACGUUAAACCUUGUAACGCAGCACAGGAGAAAAUUUCACCCAAAUGGAUGUAUUCAGGCAGCUUUAUCUUUGAAUAGUGCUAAAUCAAAAAUGAGACUCCAAGUAUUAUAUUUUGCUUGGUCUCAAUGCAAAUAAUUUGCGCAACGCAAAAUCACCAGUAUCGCAGGAUUUCCACAAGCAGCACAAGUGUAGUAGGAGCUGAUUGAAGUUUUUCUCAAGAUUACUCCAAUUUCCUAAAAAAAAAAAAAACACCAAAAACCUACAAAAGCUGGCAAAUCUGCUAUGACCUCUAGGCUUGUAACAAGCUGGUUCUGCAGGGUUUGAAGGGUUUAGCUAUAUGACACACAGAAAAAUUGAGAGUACUUGAGCCAUGUGGUUCCAAUCAAAUACUACGUUUUUUAAUGCAGCCAGCUGAAAGACCACAAAGUUAGAAACAAACAAAUGUAGACCACAUGUACUGAACCAAAUCUGUGAAAUGCAUACCUCUGAUGAUGAGCAAAGAGAUGCACAUGAAGCACAGUGUAACGCCAUAGGCAGAAAGGUUGGAUUUAAUGAUGGUUCAGUUUGUGAUAGCGCCUCUCAGAUUGCGUACAUGCUAGUAACACAGCCUCUGGCCCCAAAUAUUCAUAGUCUUCAUACAAAAUGUGAGUACAGUCCUUUGGCUGCUGAGAAUUGGAGUCAUGAGCAGGACUAUGGAGGUGAUGUUCCCUUUGUUACAUAGCAUCUGUGAAAUUGCUCCUGUGAUCCACUGCCAGGUUAAAAAAUGUAACUCCAAUUUCAGUCUCUUCCUAUGUACAAAGAGAGCAUCAAAAAUGUAAUUGCAAGUAAAGCACAAAAAUGUGACAGUGAAGGUAAUUAAUCAGUGGGACAGAUUACCAAGAAAUGCAGUAGACUGUCCAUGCUUUAGAAAUGUUUCAUCAAAGUUACAGACCUUUAUUAAUGUUAUAUUCUAGUUUAACCAUGAAGCAUUGGGCUUGAUUACAGGAAUUACUGGAUGAAAAUCAAUAUGACGCACAAGGUCAGACAGGUUACUCUCAGUAGUCCCGUCUAGCCUUAAAAUCUCUGGGUCUAAGGAUUUUCUGCAGCUGUAAUGUGUGCAAACAGAUGUAAUCUUAUUGAUAUUGCUUCCUGCAUUCUUUUCUGCCGCUCAUGAAUAAACAUCUCACUCAUUGAGG